CGGGCUUUCCGAGGGGCCAGAUCCAGCUUCGUGAAUCAGCUCUUGAUAAGCUUUGACCGGCGAGACUCACAGGACGCAAGCAUGGGUCGAAACAAACGGCUUUAUUCAGGGAGCAAAAAGUUGCGAAUCCAACGUGGGGUUUUUAAACCUCAUUUGCACGUCUCUGAAGCCAGAAGAGGCUGCCGAUCGCCCUGAGUAUCCUUGGCUGACGGGCACCUGCAUGAGGGAAUCGGCCAAUCUUCACGCUGCCUUGCUAAAUACUUAGCGCCCCAGGAACCCAACGUAGGCUUGAGGAAGAACCAAAAGGUCUGGGGUAGGUUACACUGUCUUAGGUGUCUGGCGAGGGCAGGGGGCUGAAUUCCCUCCCAUCUGGUCUCUAUGGCUACUGAAAUCAAACUAUCAGUUAUAAUGCCGGUUACUCAGAACGUCAGACCCUCUGGGCAUCAGGGGUGGGAGGAUGCCAGGAUCUGCGCCUGUUGCUGGUGCAGGAGGGUGGAGGCGUGGCUAGGACUCUUGCUCCUUCUCUUCGGCUUGUUUUCUUGUGAGGCAAAAAUAGGAAGCCUCUCCAACAAGGGUGUCUCCAGGCCCUGGAUUUGAAAUGCAGCAAGUGCCUUGAAACAAAACCAAAGAGGUCAGGCUGGGUAAUAGUCUCCAGCAAAGGUGUUCACCACGUGUCAGCCCUGGAGUCCUGCACAAAAACGUCGGUAGGCCUCUGUGCCAUUAGCUAGCCUGCCUGUGCCUCUCAAGAAAUGUGGACAGUGCAAAUCGCUGCAAAAAAAAAAAAAAAAAAAAAAAGCAUUUUCCAUCACCCACUCCAAGGGGCCCAACUUUCUCAAAAGCUGGUAUUGGAGGCUUCCUCAGUACAUGGAUGUGGAGGCUGGAUGCUUCCCUACCUGGCCUCCACCUCAGCGCCUAGAGCUGCACAGGGAACUGUGUGUGUGGAGCUCACACACACAACACUGCUCGCGGGACUAGCCUCAUGCUCUGAGGAUUCUUACAGGAUGGAAGAGCCCCAGGGAGGAUGCUUGCCAGAAAGUCACCUCGUUUGGGAUCUAUGGAUAGGGUGGGGGCAACGACCCCUAUUUUAAGGGGUCUUUCUCUCUUCCACGCCACCAAUUUAUAGCCCCACCACCUCGCCUAGGGCAGAGUCCGGAACUCCCCACAGAACCUUAUGUGAGUGGGGGAGGGAGGCCUGGGCUCCCUCUCGGUGUGGACAGUAACACUGCCAGAUCUGUAGCUCUAAAGGCCCGUGGUAUAUCCCAGACCCCUGACCCUGGGGCUGGAAGAGAGGCAUUUCCACAGCCUAAUAGAAGGCAGAAAGUGGGAACGAAUUCCCGGCUCGCAGCUGAAGAAAACAGGAAGACGAUGGCACUAAGGCUAAGUGCUAAAGGGUAGUGCUCUCAAGCUUGAGUGAGCCCAUGAAGUUCCUGGAGGACCUUGAUCCAAACUGCCCGUCGCUGAGCCCCAGUCCCAGAUAUCCGCUCAAGCAGGUAAGGAGUUGAGCAUAUUUAACAAGCACCCCUAGUGACUCCCAGGCUGGGUCCCAGAGAACUGGGAAGAGCGGACUAGGCCACCAUGCUGCUGGCACAUUUAUGGAGUUCUGUUCCCGCAAGAAGGACGUCGGUAGCAAGGGACGAGGACAAGGGCUGAAGGCAGCUACGUCCACUCUGUGCAGCCCGAGGUCUGACUUUUGGGGAGCUGGAGGCGCCGUCACUCAUCAGCCCAGUGGCAGACCAGGAGCCAGCAGGCACUUGAAUUCUCUGCUGCCACGUCAUGGAGAGGGAAACUGAGGCACAGGAAAGAGGAAGGGAUUCAUUACGGUUGAACCUCUGCCUGCGGCACAGCUGGGGCUGGAGCCCAAGCCUCCCAAGCGAAAGCGUGGACGUGUCUGCUCUUCAGGAAACCAGGCUCAGGUCAAACAUAAGUGCUGCCACCGCGGGAAAGCAGCAGACUCCCUCCAGGAAAGACUUUUCCUCCAUUGUCCCAGGAUGACCUCUCUGGAGUGCUCUGUGGAGAGGGUUUGGCUUGCCCCUCCUAAGGGAGCCCCUGGAGGAGGUAGAGAAAUUCUCUGGUACAAGUGUCCCAUCUGAAGUUGAAGCUUCCCUGCUUCUGCUGUAGAGCCAGGGUGAGACCCAGAGCCGGGCCGGUGGUCCCUAGAGCCUGGUGAUCCUCUGCAUUCACAGUGCCUCCUCCAUGCCACUGAGGCUGUGGGCAGCCUCCCCAGAACGCUCCCCAACCAUCCAGGGGGGAUGCUGGGGUGGGGGGUGCUUCUGGAAGCCCCAACAGCCUCUCUCCCAUUUCAGAGAAGUCCUCUUGCUACCAGAUCAUGGGGUGGAAUCUUUCAUGAUGGGAUUAUUUCCUGAAGCACCUUAAAAAUGAAUUUGAGCUAGGAACCUUUCUGCAUAUUUAAGUGCCAGGAGGUCACCGUUGCUCAGAAAGGGGCCUUGGGAAGCAGGUUUGUGCUCCUGAUUACCCUGCCUCUCUGGGAGGUGGGCUUAACUAUCUUGUCGCUGCCCACUUCCUGGUGCUUGGAGAGCACCCCCUCCCCCAAGCAAAGACUCUAGGGCAGCCUUGAUUCUGCAGAGAGCCUGUCACCAUGAUUCCCGGGGGCAAGGCAGCAGCAAGGGGGCGGGAGGGGGGCCUCCAAGGCAAUCCCUAGGAUUCCUGCUCCAACGUGAGCUCUCCGUCAAGACAGCUUGGGGGCCUCUUGGCUGGUAGGAGGGUACAGGAGUCUGUCAGGAGGGUCCACGAUGCAGUCCUUCAGGAUCUCCACCGGCUCCUUGUAGGGUGGAACGGGCGGUUUCUGGGUCACAGCCUCCUCCACAUAGAGUGCCCCCAUCUUCUCCUUCCUGAGCCCUGGUCCUUGUGCGAGGGGAAAGAGAACCCACAGUUACACGGAGGGGAAAACAGAUUAGAUGAUGACCCCUUCCCACAUCCACUGUGCCCCAAGGAAUGCUGGGUGAGAAUGCAGAACAGCCUGGAGAUAUGACUGCGCUGCUCUUGGCAGACCUGUUCUAGACUCGCUCUGUUCUCUCACCCUGGGGUGGUGGGCCUCACCUGGGGCGAUUCUGCCCUCCAGGGGACACGUGGCAAUGCCUGGACACACUUCUGAUCGCUACAACUGGGUGAGUGCCAAGGGGGCCCAGUGGGUACGUAAGGGGUGCAGGUCAGGGGUGCUGCUGGAGACCCGAUCACACACAGGCCGGGCCUCACAACGAGGAACCUUCCAGCCCUCAGUGUCCACAGUGCUGAGGUUGAGAACCCUGCCUGGAAAGGAGGGCCUUAUCCUAUCAAAUCUGGUAGUGCCCUGUAUUUGCUUCAGAUGUACUAGUCCCACCGCCCCCUGCAAAAGGGCACACUUGAGAGCACCCUUCACCCCCACACGGCUGGACGUGGGGAGCAGCUCACUCAGCAAACGCGUGGGCAAAGGAUUCACUCUCCGGCUCCCUACCUUUCUCCCCGUCUCCUCUCUCCACUUCCACCCCAGGCCCCUCCCCUUGCCCAGCAAUGGGGCCAGGGCCGCCCUGCUUCCUGGGGAGCCCCUGGCAAGCCUGAUACCCUGUCCGCAGCUGAUGACCACAGACCGGGCGGUAACCACACAGGAGCACAAGCAAUGGAAGGGGACCAGAAACAACAAGAUGUCAAGGAAGAAACGUCAUUGCUGUCACUGAGAAGUGACACACGAAUAGCCUGGAGGACCUCUUUGGUUUUCAGGGACUACUUGAAAAGAGGAGACUUGCUCACUUCAGACUCAGUAACUCACCUCCCAUAUAACAUAAGCGUCCCUCCAGUCCGUCCCCACCCCGGCCCCCAGGCUAGUUGGGCUGUGCCCCUCACAGACGCCUCCCUGCCCAGGAUGCCCCAGCCCUCUCCUCCAC